CACUCCUACGGGAGGCAGCAGUGGGGAAUAUUGCACAAUGGGCGCAAGCCUGAUGCAGCCAUGCCGCGUGUAUGAAGAAGGCCUUCGGGUUGUAAAGUACUUUCAGCGGGGAGGAAGGCAAUACGGUUAAUAACCGUGUUGAUUGACGUUACCCGCAGAAGAAGCACCGGCUAACUCCGUGCCAGCAGCCGCGGUAAUACGGAGGGUGCAAGCGUUAAUCGGAAUUACUGGGCGUAAAGCGCACGCAGGCGGUCUGUCAAGUCGGAUGUGAAAUCCCCGGGCUCAACCUGGGAACUGCAUUCGAAACUGGCAGGCUUGAGUCUUGUAGAGGGGGGUAGAAUUCCAGGUGUAGCGGUGAAAUGCGUAGAGAUCUGGAGGAAUACCGGUGGCGAAGGCGGCCCCCUGGACAAAGACUGACGCUCAGGUGCGAAAGCGUGGGGAGCAAACAGGAUUAGAUACCCGAGUAGUCCCAU
rnacentral:rRNA from 1 species